CCUUGAAAUACCACCCUUUAAUGUUUGAUGUUCUAACGUUGGCCCGUAAUCCGGGUUGCGGACAGUGUCUGGUGGGUAGUUUGACUGGGGCGGUCUCCUCCUAAAGAGUAACGGAGGAGCACGAAGGUUGGCUAAUCCUGGUCGGACAUCAGGAGGUUAGUGCAAUGGCAUAAGCCAGCUUGACUGCGAGCGUGACGGCGCGAGCAGGUGCGAAAGCAGGUCAUAGUGAUCCGGUGGUUCUGAAUGGAAGGGCCAUCGCUCAACGGAUAAAAGGUACUCCGGGGAUAACAGGCUGAUACCGCCCAAGAGUUCAUAUCGACGGCGGUGUUUGGCACCUCGAUGUCGGCUCAUCACAUCCUGGGGCUGAAGUAGGUCCCAAGGGUAUGGCUGUUCGCCAUUUAAAGUGGUACGCGAGCUGGGUUUAGAACGUCGUGAGACAGUUCGGUCCCUAUCUGCCGUGGGCGCUGGAGAACUGAGGGGGGCUGCUCCUAGUACGAGAGGACCGGAGUGGACGCAUCACUGGUGUUCGGGUUGUCAUGCCAAUGGCACUGCCCGGUAGCUAAAUGCGGAAGAGAUAAGUGCUGAAAGCAUCUAAGCACGAAACUUGCCCCGAGAUGAGUUCUCCCUGACUCCUUGAGAGUCCUGAAGGAACGUUGAAGACGACGACGUUGAUAGGCCGGGUGUGUAAGCGCAGCGAUGCGUUGAGCUAACCGGUACUAAUGAACCGUGAGGCUUAACCUUACAACGCCGAAG
rnacentral:rRNA from 1 species